rnacentral:miRNA from 1 species
CAACUAUCACGGUCUUCCAAG